GAUUAGGGAUGUCAAUCCAGCCCGAAACCCGUGGGCCGACCCGAAUAACCCGACAAAAGUAGAGGGUUAGGGCUGGAAAAUUGCAACCCGAUAACAAAUCGGGCUUAUCGGGCUAGCCCGUUCGGGCUGGCGGGUUGAAGCGGGCCAGCCCGUCGGGUUGUCGGGCCAGCCCGUCGGGUUGAUGAUUUUUUUUUUAAAAAAAAUGAAAUUAAAAAUAUUAAAUUUUAGGGUUUGUUUCAAUUUCAAAGUUAGAAAAUAGAAACUGCUCUGCCGCACCACCUCCACUCUUCUCUUCGUCUCUUCCAUUCCUUCAGCCACUGCUCUGCCGCACCACUUCCAGCCACGCCGCCGCGCCGCCGCGCCGCGCCUCCCCCUCCGGCGCAUCCAUUCCAAUCUGUCUCCCACCGGAGAAGCACGCUGCUUCCAACCUGAGCCUGCCCAGCGCCAUCGCGCCUCCACUCCUCUGCCACCGCCGCGCCUCUUCCCACCUGCGCUGAGCGGCCAUCGCCGGCUCGUCGCCGUCUGCUGCUUCUAGUCUGCGGCAACUGCUGCUCACUACUCCUCAAUUCCAGUCUUCAUUCAUUGCAUAGCUUGCAAUCCGCCUAAUUAUAUAAUCCAUCAUUGUCCACUCAAUUUGAUAUUUUUCCCGACGAGUUUGGGCUCCUCAGCUUCGAAUUGGCAGCCGGGAUUUAGCAUGGUUGCGUUUAAUUGGUGUUCGUGAAAGAUUUGGAGGACCGCUGCCUUGAAUUUCGUAGAUCUGGAUGGUGAAGAUGAUGAGCAAGAAAACAUGGAUCAAGUUGGAGCACCGAAUGUUAUUAACGUUGAAGAAGAGUGUUACUCAAACAUUUAGACUUUAUAUAUUUAAUAUUUAUGUAUAUUUUAUACAUUAUACAUUAGAUCAUUAGGAAUAAUGUAAUACAAAUAAUAAUUUUAUU